CGACCUGUAGCUCAGCGGCUAGAGCAACCUCCUGAUAAGGGGUAGGUCGGAGGUUCGAUUCCUCCCGGGUCGA
rnacentral:tRNA from 1 species